UACGUAGGGGGCUAGCGUUUUCCGGAAUUACUGGGCGUAAAGGGCGUGUAGGCGGCCGACUAAGUCAGGUGUGAAAGGCCACGGCUCAACCGUGGUAUUGCACAUGAAACUGGUCGGCUUGAGUGCAGGAGAGGGAAGUGGAAUUCCUAGUGUAGCGGUGAAAUGCGUAGAUAUUAGGAGGAACACCAGUGGCGAAGGCGACUUUCUGGACUGUAACUGACGCUGAGGCGCGAAAGCGUGGGGAG
rnacentral:rRNA from 1 species